AGUUCUCUACAAGCACUUCACGAGGCUUCGUACUGAGAGCUUUUGUGAAGUGUUUGGGGGAACUCU